rnacentral:rRNA from 1 species
GGGGAAUAUUGGACAAUGGGCGCAAGCCUGAUCCAGCCAUGCCGCGUGGGUGAAGAAGGCCUUCGGGUUGUAAAGCCCUUUUGUUGGGAAAGAAAAGCAGCCGGCCAAUACCCGGUUGUUCUGACGGUACCCAAAGAAUAAGCACCGGCUAACUUCGUGCCAGCAGCCGCGGUAAUACGGAGGAUCCGAGCGUUAUCCGGAUUUAUUGGGUUUAAAGGGUGCUCAGGCGGGGGAUUAAGUCGGCGGUGAAAUUUUGCAGCUCAACUGUAAAAGUGCCUUCGAAACUGGUUUCCUUGAGUGCGGAUGAGGUAGGCGGAAUUUGUGGUGUAGCGGUGAAAUGCAUAGAUAUCACGAGGAACUCCGAUUGCGCAGGCAGCUUACCAAGCCGUAACUGACGCUCAAGCACGAAGGCGUGGGGAUCAAACA